CUAAUACUGACACUGAGGUACGAAAGCGUGGGUAGCAAACAGGAUUAGAUACCCUGGUAGUCGACGCCGUAAACGAUGACAACUAGCCGUUGGGAGGAUUUACCUCUUAGUGGCGAAGCUAACGCGUUAAGUUGUCCGCCUGGGGAGUACGGCCGCAAGGCUAAAACUCAAAGGAAUUGACGGGGACCCGCACAAGCGGUGGAGCAUGUGGUUUAAUUCGAUGCAACGCGAAGAACCUUACCUGGUCUUGACAUACACGGAACUUUCCAGAGAUGGAUUGGUGCCUUCGGGAACCGUGAUACAGGUGCUGCAUGGCUGUCGUCAGCUCGUGUCGUGAGAUGUUGGGUUAAGUCCCGUAACGAGCGCAACCCUUAUCCUUAUUUGCCAGCACAUCAUGGUGGGAACUAUAAGGAGACUGCCGGUGAUAAACCGGAGGAAGGCGGGGACGACGUCAAGUCAUCAUGGCCCUUACGACCAGGGCUACACACGUGCUACAAUGGGAAGGACAAAGGGUCGCAACCUCGCGAGAGCAAGCUAAUCUCAUAAACCUUUUCGUAGUCCGGAUCGGAGUCUGCAACUCGACUCCGUGAAGUCGGAAUCGCUAGUAAUCGUGGAUCAGAAUGCCACGGUGAAUACGUUCCCGGGUCUUGUACACACCGCCCGUC
rnacentral:rRNA from 1 species